AUCUCUGAGCUUGAGGAUCGGCCAUAGAAACUUAUAAACCUGAAAGGCAGAGAAAACAAAAAAGACAUAAAAAGUAAACAGACUAUCCAAGAACUGUUGGAUCAUUUCAAAAGGAAUCUCUAGGUAUACCAGUCUACAAUUCCAACAGAUACAAAAAAUGCCUGAAAGAGACAACACAUGUGAAGUGCUAAACGGUCUUCCUGGAGAAUAGAUGUUCAAUAAAUACUAGUGUCCAGAUUGUUUGGAAGUGUGAAGGAAGGAUCCCAGGAGAAAGAGCUGAGCAAGACAUCUGUGGUAAUAAAACAAUCAAUAAAAUUGAAUCCAAGAAGGUGACUAUUCAGGAUAUCCUGUUGACACUGCAAAGCCACUGAUGAUGUGAAAAUUACAAUAGCAUUCCAUUUCUUACUUUCAUUUGGUUGCCAAAUAAAUGCAAAUUAAGAACUAGGCUUAGUUGAGGUAGAUUCUUCAACCUUUAACCACAGGAUUUUCUGUUGGUGUGAAAUAUCUUUAGACACUAUAUGGAGAGAGAUACCUCUUUGAAUGACAAAAAAAUUAUCUUCUGUGAACAGAUAUAAGAAGAGACUCCUAAAUCCAGUGCAGAAAGUAGUGGCCAAGAGACAUUUCUCUGCCUUUAUCAAUCCCCCAAAAGGAGCCUAAACUGUAAUCUGGAGUCACAUUUUUUUUUUUUUUUUUUUUUGCCAAGUGAGAAAAGAGUAUUCUGGCUAAUAGGGAGUUCCUAAAUACCAGAAGAAACAAUGAAUAAAUGAUAUAAAUGACAUGUGGUUGAGAUGGAGGAGAAAAAGACCCACCAAAUGUACUGUUUAUGAAUUGGAAGAAAAUCAGGUAGAAUAGUGUGUCUGUUGCUGCUGUGUAGCCUGCCUGCACCACGUAAAUCGGUGAGUGGAGAUUUGGCCCAGGUCUUGUGUGCGGGGAGAGACUGCUAACUAUAACAAAAUGAAAAUCCUGAAACUCUCAGUGAUACGCGGCUGCGACAGCAAAAGGCCACUCCAGAGGCCUAGGUGACCCAAUAUUUGCACCCUUUUCUGUAUUCUCUUAUAUGUUUAAUGGAUUAUUUAAUGGUAUAUAGUAUAGUUCAUAUUUAAGUGAUAAAUAUUUGCAUAGCCUCAUUGACACAUUUAUUGUGAUUUUAUUAAACAAAACUAUGUAACACUCUUUGUGAGAUUAUACAUAUUUUAGUAAGCGCUGUUGGCAAAGAAUAAUUCAUCUAGAUAUUUUAGUUAUAAUUUAUGUAGUACUAUUUCUUUUUGAAUAGCAAGACUUUAAAUAUUUACCAUAAUCUCAUGACUUGAAAUCCUGACACAAUCUGUUCUUAAAAUUUCCCAAUAACUUAGGUUAAAAAAAUAGAAUGAAUGCCAUUGUUUUCUGACUGUUAUUAUGUAUCCUCUUUUCUACCACAGAGUCUGCGUAUUUCAGUAUGUUGCUAGGUGUACAAGUGGGAACAACAACAAAGAUGGAGCUUGGGGGAGAAGAGAAAUAGUCAAAAGAACUAGGAGAAUAACAUUCUUUCAUUGGCCUGCAAGCUAGCCCUAUGUACCAAAUCUGGUCCACUAGCUAGUUUUGUAAAUAAAGUUUUAUUGGUACACAA